AGAACGAACGCUGGCGGCAUGCCUAAUACAUGCAAGUCGAACGAACUCUUCGGAGUUAGUGGCGCACGGGUGCGUAACGCGUGGGAAUCUGCCCUUGGGUUCGGAAUAACAGUUGGAAACGACUGCUAAUACCGGAUGAUGACGAAAGUCCAAAGAUUUAUCGCCCAGGGAUGAGCCCGCGUAGGAUUAGCUAGUUGGUGAGGUAAAGCUCACCAAGGCGACGAUCCUUAGCUGGUCUGAGAGGAUGAUCAGCCACACUGGGACUGAGACACGGCCAGACUCCUACGGGAGGCAGGCAGGUAGGGAAUAUGGACAAUGGGACAAAGCCUGAUCAGCAAUCGCG
rnacentral:rRNA from 1 species